ACACGCAUGCGCAUGUGUGUAUUUAUGAUUCCAUUUGCUUGAGUCAUUCCCCUCCAUGCUGGAAGACAGUAUGAGCCAUGGAGAAUCAACUGCCCGCUGAGGAAUUUAAAUGAAAAUGCUCAAGGAACAGCUGUUUGAGGAAACACCUAGAAGACACCUAGAAGAGCAAAAGAAAGACCCUGAACACUUCAAGACAGAAGUCAGGGCAAAUUGAAAAGAUUCUGACUUAUCGGAAGCCUUCAUCUCAUUCAGGAACCCGGCAAGCACGAAUUCUCCACGGUUUGCACCCCGUGUGCCAUCCCCUCCACUAGAUAAUAACCAUCUUCGACUUCUCGAAAAAUACUCGGCUGUACAAGACACAUGGUGCCAGUGCUUCUGGGGAGGGCCUCAGGGAGCUUCCACUCACUGGAAGAGGAAAAGAAGCCUGCAUGUGUGGAGAUCACGUGAUGACAGAGGAUGCAAGAAAGGGCGGAAGUGCCAGGCUCUUUUUAACAACCAGCUUUUGUGGGAACUAGCAGCACAAACUCACCACCCUGUCAAGGAAAUACGCUAAUCUAUUCUGCACUAAUGAAGGAUCCAUGACCCAAACACCUUCAAUUCAGCCCCACUUUCAACAUGAGGACUGACUUUCAGCAUAAGAUCUGGAGGGACAAACAUCCAAACUAUAGCACCAUUCAUGUCAUUACCAUAUUCUCAGUCUCUCUGCCCCAAAACGCUGCGAACCUGUUCCCUGCUGCAUCUUCAAUCCAACCAGCCACAUAGUCUGUGCUGUUUUUUAAAGAUUAAAUCUCAAAUCAAA